AACCGGCGCACGGGUGAGUAACACGUGGGCAACCUGCCUCGGAGACCGGGAUAACCCGUCGAAAGACGGACUAAUACCGGAUAAGACCACGGGGAGUUCGCUUCCUGGGGUAAAAGAUGGCCUCUGCUCCUGCAAGCUAUCACUUCGAGAGGGGCCCGCGUCCUAUCAGCUAGUUGGUGAGGUAACGGCUCACCAAGGCUAAGACGGGUAGCUGGUCUGAGAGGAUGGUCAGCCACACUGGGACUGAGACACGGCCCAGAGUCCUACGGGAUGCAGCAGUCAGGAAUAUUGCGCAAUGGAGGAAACUCUGACGCAGCGACGCCGCGUGGGUGAUGAAGGCCUUCGGGUCGUAAAGCCCUGUCGGAGGGGAAGAAAAGCCUGCUGGCUAAUAUCCAGUAGGCAUUUGACGGUACCCUCAAAGGAAGCACCGGCUAACUCCGUGCCAGCAGCCGCGGUAAGACGGAGGGUGCAAGCGUUGUUCAGAUUGACUGGGCGUAAAGGGCGUGUAGGCGGUUGGUCAAGUCCGAUGUGAAAGCCCGGGGCUCAGCCCCGGAAGGGCAUCGGAAACUAGCCGGCUGGAGCGCGAUAGAGGAGGGUAGAAUUCCUGGUGUAGCGGUGAAAUGCGUAGAUAUCAGGAGGAAUACCGGCGGCGAAGGCGGCCCUCUGGAUCGUUGC
rnacentral:rRNA from 1 species